rnacentral:rRNA from 1 species
UACGUAGGCAGCGAGCGUUGUUCGGAGUUACUUGGGCGUAAAGGGUGUGUAGGCGGUUCUUUAAGUUUGGUGUGGAAAUCUCCCGGUCCUAACCGGGAGGGUGCGCCGAAAACUGGGGGACUGAGAGUGCGGGAUGGGAGAGUAGAAUUCCGUGGUGUAGCGGUGAAAUGCGUAGAUAUCAGGAGGAAUACCGGUGGUGUAGACGGCUCUCUGGACCGCAACUGACGCUGAGACACGAAAGCGUGGGUAGCAAACAGGAUUAGAA